rnacentral:rRNA from 1 species
CAGCCGCCGCGGGAAUACGAAGGGUGCAAGCGUUAAUCGGAAUUACUGGGCGUAAAGCGUGCGUAGGCGGUGAGUUAAGUCUGCUGUGAAAUCCCCGGGCUCAACCUGGGAAUGGCAAUGGAUACUGGCAAGCUAGAGUGUGUCAGAGGAUGGUGGAAUUCCCGGUGUAGCGGUGAAAUGCGUAGAGAUCGGGAGGAACAUCAGUGGCGAAGGCGGCCAUCUGGGACAACACUGACACUGAGGCACGAAAGCGUGGGGAGCAAACAGGAUUAGAUACCCGCGUAGUCCCUGUCUCUUAUAC